UGAGGAAUAUUGCACAAUGGGCGCAAGCCUGAUGCAGCGACGCCGCGUGUGGGAUGAAGGGGCUACGCCUCGUAAACCACUGUAGCCCGGGACGAAAAACGCCUUAGAGGCGUUAGACGGUACCGGGAAAGUAAGGGUCGGCUAACUACGUGCCAGCAGCCGCGGUAAUACGUAGGACCCAAGCGUUGUCUGGAUUUACUGGGUGUAAAGGGUGCGCAGGCGGAUGGGUAAGUCAGGGGUGAAAGUCUGCAGCUUAACUGUAGAAUUGCCUUUGAUACUGCUCAUCUUGAGUGUGGGAGAGGUUGAUGGAAUUCCAGGUGUAGCAGUGAAAUGCGUAGAUAUGCGGAGGAACACCGAUGGCGAAGGCAAUCCCCUGGGCCUGCACUGACGCUCAUGCACGAAAGCGUGGGGAGCAAACA
rnacentral:rRNA from 1 species